GACACCUAGAGGCCAGCGGCCGGGGUAAUGCGGAGGUGGUGUGCGGUGUCCGGAAUUACUUGGCGUAAAGGGUGAGUAGGCUGAAUAUUAAGUCAGAUGUGAAAUCCCAGGGCUUAACCUUGGAGUGGCAGUUGAAACUGGUAUUCUAGAGUGCAGGAGAGGAAAGCGGAAUUCCUAGUGUAGCGGGGAAAUGCGUAGAUAUUAGGAAGAACACCAGUGGCGAAGGCGGCUUUCUGGACUGUAACUGACGCUGAGGCACGAAAGCGUGGGGAGCAAACAGGAUUAGAUACCCCGGUAGUC
rnacentral:rRNA from 1 species